rnacentral:tRNA from 1 species
GGAGAGGUGCCAGAGUGGUUGAAUGGGGCGGUCUCGAACACCGUUAUACUCGCAAGGGUAUCGGGGGUUCGAAUCCCCCUCUCUCCGCCA